CUUAUACUCCCUCCGUCCGGAAAUACUUGUCAUCAAAAUGAAUAAAAAGAUAUGUAUCUAGAUGUAUUUUCGUUUUAGAUAUAUCCCCUUUUGUCCAUUUUCAUGACAAGUAAUUUUGGACGGAGGGAGUACGUG
rfam:Triticum aestivum genome assembly, contig: Triticum_aestivum_CS42_TGACv1_scaffold_112561_2AS